rnacentral:rRNA from 1 species
AGAUAAUAGAUACCCGGGUAGUCCACGCCCUAAACGAUGUCAACUGGGUGUUGGGGAAGCGAUUCCUUGGUACCGUAGCUAAACGCGUGAAAGUUGACCGCCUGGGGAGUACGGCCGCAAGGUUAAAACUCAAAGGAAUUGACGGGGACCCGCACAAGCGGUGGAUGAUGUGGAUUAAUUCGAUGCAACGCGAACAGCCUUACCUACCCUUGACAUGUCUGGAAGGCUGCUGAGAGGUGGCUGUGCCCGAAAGGGAACCGGAACACAGGUGCUGCAUGGCUGUCGUCAGCUCGUGUCGUGAGAUGUUGGGUUAAGUCCCGCAACGAGCGCAACCCUUGUCCCUAGUUGCUACGCAAGGGCACUCUAGGGAGACUGCCGGUGACAAACCGGAGGAAGGUGGGGAUGACGUCAAGUCCUCAUGGCCCUUAUGGGUAGGGCUUCACACGUCAUACAAUGGUCGGUACAGAGGGUUGCCAACCCGCGAGGGGGAGCCAAUCCCAGAAAGCCGAUCGUAGUCCGGAUUGCAGUCUGCAACUCG